rnacentral:lncRNA from 1 species
GAAUGCCUUCAAGAAGAUGUGCUCUUCAGGAACAUCAUGAGGUUUCAUAGUCGAACAGACAAUGUGGAAUUCCUUCAAAUGCUUAUGUGGAUUCUCAAUUGCAAGACCAUGAAACUUGGGCAACAAAUGGAUCAGCCAGUCUUAAGAACAAAUGGAACGUCCUCAUCAGGAUAUUGGAUGCACAAGCUUUCAAUAUCGAAAUCAGGUGCAACCAUCUCCC